rnacentral:rRNA from 1 species
GACGAACGCUGGCGGCGUGCUUAACACAUGCAAGUCGAACGGAAAGGCCCUGCUUUUGUGGGGUGCUCGAGUGGCGAACGGGUGAGUAACACGUGAGUAACCUGCCCUUGACUUUGGGAUAACUUCAGGAAACUGGGGCUAAUACCGGAUAGGAGCUCCUGCUGCAUGGUGGGGGUUGGAAAGUUUCGGCGGUUGGGGAUGGACUCGCGGCUUAUCAGCUUGUUGGUGGGGUAGUGGCUUACCAAGGCUUUGACGGGUAGCCGGCCUGAGAGGGUGACCGGCCACAUUGGGACUGAGAUACGGCCCAGAGUGCUACGGGAGGCAGCAGUGGGGAAUAUUGCACAAUGGGCGGAAGCCUGAUGCAGCAACGCCGCGUGCGGGAUGACGGCCUUCGGGUUGUAAAACGCUUUCGCCUGUGACGAAGCGUGAGUGACGGUAAUGGGUAAAGAAGCACCGGCUAACUACGUG